UCUUGACCUCGGAUCAGGUAGGGAUACCCGCUGAACUUAAGCAUAUCAAUAAAGCGGAGGA
rnacentral:rRNA from 1 species